rnacentral:rRNA from 1 species
AUCACUGGCUCAGGAUGAACGCUAGCUACAGGCUUAACACAUGCAAGUCGAGGGGCAGCAUGGUCUUAGCUUGCUAAGGCCGAUGGCGACCGGCGCACGGGUGAGUAACACGUAUCCAACCUGCCGUCUACUCUUGGACAGCCUUCUGAAAGGAAGAUUAAUACAAGAUGGCAUCAUGAGUCCGCAUGUUCACAUGAUUAAAGGUAUUCCGGUAGACGAUGGGGA